rnacentral:tmRNA from 1 species
GGGGGCGACUUGGCUUCGACGUGGGUAGCAAAACCUGAGGUGCAUGCAGAGGUGUGAAGUUCCUCUUAAAUCCAAUCACAAAACUUAUAGUUGCCAACGACGACAACUACGCUUUAGCAGCUUAAACUCCUGCUCAAAGCCCUCGGCCUGAUGUGUGCUUAUACGCUCAGAUAACCGGGGUCGACUCAUAUAAGCUCGCGAUGAAGCAUGUCUGGUGUGGAUUCGCUAAAACCUAUCCAGAAUCGCCUUCAGUCUUCCCCGCCCAUUGGGUAGCUGCUGGUUAAAUUAAGAAUGGGAUAAGCAUGUAGAGCCGAUGGCGGAGUGCUUGCGGACGCGGGUUCAAUUCCCGCCGCCUCCACCA